UACGUAGGGUGCAAGCGUUGUCCGGAUUUAUUGGGCGUAAAGAGCUCGUAGGCGGUUUGUCGCGUCGGAUGUGAAAACCUAUGGCUUAACCAUGGGCCUGCAUUCGAUACGGGCAAACUAGAGUUCGGUAGGGGAGACUGGAAUUCCUGGUGUAGCGGUGAAAUGCGCAGAUAUCAGGAGGAACACCGGUGGCGAAGGCGGGUCUCUGGGCCGAUACUGACGCUGAGGAGCGAAAGCGUGGGGAGCAAACAGG
rnacentral:ncRNA from 2 species